rnacentral:rRNA from 1 species
UUCUAAAUGGAUAAUAAAAUUUUAUUAGAAAUUAGAUGGAAUCAUUAAAAUUAAUUAAUUUGGCGGUAUUUUAAAUAGUUAGAGGAAUUUGUCGAGUAAUUGAUAAUCCACGAAUGGACGAACCUAAUAAAGUUUUAUGUAUUGUUGUUGUAAAAUUAGUUUAAGAGAAAUUAAUUAAAAAAUUUAAGAAAAUUUUAAUUCAAAUCAAAAUGUAGAGUUGUUAGGGUUGGAUGAAUUACAAUCUUAUAAAGUUGGAGUAAUAGUUUUGAUAUUAUUAUAAAAUAGGAUUUAAUAGUAAAUUUUUAUAAUUAUAAAAGUUGAAAUUUAAAUAAAAUGUG